rnacentral:tRNA from 1 species
GGGGAUAUAGUUCAGUGGUAGAGCAUUUGCCUUGCAUGUGAAAGGCCCUGGAUUCAAUCUCUAGUACUUCAA